ACUUAUAUAGUAUAAAAAUUAUUUUUAACUUCCAAUUAAAAGAUCUAUAUUAUAGUAUAAGUA
rnacentral:tRNA from 1 species